rnacentral:rRNA from 1 species
UACAGGGGGGGCAAGCGUUGUUCGGAAUUACUGGGCGUAAAGGGCUCGUAGGCGGCCAACUAAGUCACACGUGAAAUCCCCAGGCUUAACCUGGGAACUGCGUGUGAUACUGGAUGGCUUGAAUUCGGGAGAGGGAUGCAGAAUUCCAGGUGUAGCGGUGAAAUGCGUAGAUAUCUGGAGGAAUACCGGUGGCGAAGGCGGCAUCCUGGACCGACAUUGACGCUGAGGAGCGAAAGCCAGGGGAGCAAACGGG